rnacentral:lncRNA from 10 species
GCCGGCAGGACCUGAGCGGGUUUGGGAGUCCGCUAGGCGCUGCCCCCACUAGAGUCGGACUCGCAGUGCACCCCCCGGGAGGGAGGCAGGUAGCCCUACAGCCGGAGGACAGCAGAGAUGCCCGACAGCAGGCCGAGCUGGUCGGGGGCUGCGAGAUAGCGCCGGCUGGAAGGCCCGCAGGAGUCAGAGGUGAUGAGCCGGGCAGGUGGGUGGAAAGCCGGCGGCGGUCAGAGAAUGGAUGCCAAGCGAGACUGCCAAUGACUCAGGACGUCCCAGUGGAGUCACAGCGUGAGCCCAGCACCGAGGUUUUCAGAGUCAGAUGACUGCAGAGAAGAUGCUGAUGGCACUACUGGCCAAAACGGGCUUCACUGGAGCUGGGAUGGAGUCUUGCUCUGUCGCCCAGGCUGGAGUGCAGUGGCACAAUCUCGGCUCACUGCAACCUCCGCCUCCCAGGUUCAAGAGAUUCUCCUGUCUCAGCCUCCUGAGUAGCUUGGAUUACAGGCAUGUGCCACCACUCCCAGCUAAUUUUGUAUUUUUAGUAGAGACGGGGUUUCGCCAUGUUGGCCAGGCUGGUCUCAAACUCCUGACCUGAAGCAAUCCGCCUGCCUCAGCCUCCCAAAGCUCUGGGAUUACAGGCGUGAGCCACCAUGCCUGGCUGUUGUACUUUCAGAGCCCAAGGUAAGCAGCAGGAAAAGCCCAGGGGGCUCCAAACCAUAGUCCAGAGGUUGUGGGACAUGGCCCCCACAUCCCUAGGGUGGGUACCCAGAGCCAGCUGAGUUCUUCCUCAGCCCUUUGCUCAGGGCCCCCGAUGUGCUGGAAUAAGGGUAACAGAUUCCUCAGUCUAAUGGCCUGGCUCAUCUUGCCAGGCCCUGCCUCCUGCUCAGCUGCCUUGAGUCCUUACUGGGACAUGCUGCUUUUUCCACCCAGGGCCUCCCCUACAGAAACCCCCUAAUCCACUGUUCUCUUCAGGGUUUGAAUCAGGCUACACAGAGAUAGGCCGUUCAUGUGUGGGCGAGGGUCCCUAAUCAUCCCCAGGAGCCAGCACCAGACCAGGCUCUGCCAGCCUUCACAUGGCUCUGAAGUGCUGUUAGGUGAUAACGUACAGUGAGGGGUGUGUGGGCAGAGGAGGGUUUUAUUCUGGACAUGGGUGGCUGGGUGGUCAGUCCCCCAGCAAGAUAGAGGCCUCA